AACCCCUCUUUCACUUUGCUGAUUAGACAUUUCUUGUCUUCAUUGGCCAUUCAAGUGGGGUAAAAUAACUCCUUUUAAAACCCAAGCGAACGACAUUUGUUGGGCUUGGAUCCUGUCAGAGGAAACACUG
rnacentral:snoRNA from 1 species